GCUGUUAUAGCUCAGUGGAUAGAGUGUCGGCCUGUAGACUGAAGGGUCCUGGGUUCGAUUCCCAUCAAGGGCA
rnacentral:tRNA from 1 species